rnacentral:rRNA from 1 species
GAUGAACGCUGGCGGCGUGCUUAACACAUGCAAGUCGAACGAAGCACUUCUGAUUGAUUUCCUCGGAAAGAUUUCACUUGUGACUGAGUGGCGGACGGGUGAGUAACGCGUGGGUAACCUGCCUCAUACAGGGGGAUAACAGUUAGAAAUGACUGCUAAUACCGCAUAAGCGCACGGUAUCGCAUGAUACAGUGUGAAAAACUCCGGUGGUAUGAGAUGGACCCGCGUCUGAUUAGUUAGUUGGUGAGGUAACGGCCCACCAAGGCGACGAUCAGUAGCCGACCUGAGAGGGUGACCGGCCACAUUGGGACUGAGACACGGCCCAAACUCCUACGGGAGGCAGCAGUGGGGAAUAUUGCACAAUGGGCGAAAGCCUGAUGCAGCGACGCCGCGUGAACGAAGAAGUAUUUCGGUAUGUAAAGUUCUAUCAGCAGGGAAGAUAAUGACGGUACCUGACUAAGAAGCACCGGCUAAAUACGUGCCAGCCGCCGCCGUAACAC